GAGGUUAGAGCUCAGUGGCAGAGCACGUGCUUAGCAGGCACAAGGUCCUGGGUUCAGUCCCUGAUACCUCU
rnacentral:tRNA from 1 species